rnacentral:rRNA from 1 species
AGAGUUUGAUCAUGGCUCAGAGUGAACGCUGGCGGCGUGCCUAACACAUGCAAGUCGAACGAGAACGGAUAUAAGUUUACUUAUAUUGUCAGCUAAGUGGCGCACGGGUGAGUAAUAUAUAGUUAAUCUGCCCUGAAGAAGAGAAUAAUUGUUGGAAACGACUUGUAAUGCUCUAUAUGCCUUUAUCACAUAAGUGAGCAAGGGAAAUAUUUAUAGCUUCGGGAUGAGACUGUACGGUAUCAGCUAGUUGGUGAGGUAAUGGCUCACCAAGGCAAUGACAUCUAACUGGUUUGAGAGGAUGAUCAGUCACACCGGAACUGAGACACGGUCCAGACUCCUACGGGAGGCAGCAGUGGGGAAUAUUGCACAAUGGAGGAAACUCUGAUGCAGCAACGCCGCGUGGAGGAUGACACAUUUCGGUGCGUAAACUCCUUUUAUUAGGGAAGAUAAUGACGGUACCUAAUGAAUAAGCACCGGCUAACUCCGUGCCAGCAGCCGCGGUAAUACGGGGGGUGCAAGCGUUACUCGGAAUCACUGGGCGUAAAGAGCAUGUAGGCUGAUUAGUAAGUUGGAAGUGAAAUCCUAUGGCUCAA